rnacentral:misc_RNA from 1 species
AGCAGCCGCGGUAAUUCCAGCUCCAAUAGCGUAUAUUAAAGUUGUUGCAGUUAAAAAGCUCGUAGUUGAAUUUCGGGAUCAAUUAAUUGGUCGUGCCUCUGGUACGUACUGAUUUUAUUGGUUUCUCCCUUCUGACGAACCAUGAUGUCAUUAAUUUGGUGUCGUGGAGAAUCAGGACUGUUACUUUGAAAAAAUUAGAGUGUUUAAAGCAAGCUAACGCUUGAAUACAUUAGCAUGGAAUAAUGAAAUAGGACGUUUGAUCCUAUUUUGUUGGUUUUCUAGGAUCGACGUAAUGAUUAAUAGGGAUAGUUGGGGGCAUUAGUAUUCAAUUGUCAGAGGUGAAAUUCUUGGAUUUAUUGAAGACUAACUACUGCGAAAGCAUUUGCCAAGGAUGUUUUCAUUAAUCAAGAACGAAAGUUAGGGGAUCGAAGACGAUCAGAUACCGUCGUAGUCUUAACCAUAAACUAUGCCGACUAGGGAUCGGAUGAUGUUAAUUUUUAAUGACUCAUUCGCGCCUUAA